AAGAGAAGGAGAUGGCAUAAAUAAAUCUCAGAAAAACAAGACAAAAGAUGUGGGGACAUCUUUGACUAUUAUCUUCAUCUUCAAUUUAGUUAUAGAUCCCCAUGGUGCCUGAUGAUUAACUUCUACUCCACAUGGUGCUGUGCUGGGUUGGUACUAAGAUAACUCCGUAAUGGCUUCAAGUAAUAAUUGGGAAUAUGAGAUUUAACAGAUUUGAAAUAAUAAUGGGAGAUAGAAGAAGAAGAUAUGAAAAUUUAGUUAGAGGAAAGUUUCGAGAAGUUAAAAAUAAAAGAGACAUAGCAUUGAGAACAGGGAGAAUUUAGGAUUGGUUAUUUACCGAUAUAAAUAAGAAAAAAUAAAAUAAAUGGCUAAGGAAAAAAUCCUAAUAUAUAAAAAAUGUUAUAUGUAUUAUAUAUACUAGGGAAGCAAAGAUGAUACCUAGGAGGUAGAUAAAGGGUAGAGAAAUAUGGUUCUCAUUAGCUUCAACCAAUUAGCAAAGUGUCUUGCAUAACAUUAUCAACUUUAUCAAUUCUUCUAGGCAUGUAGGCUAGAAAAACUAAGACGCACCUUUGACUCUGUCCUCCACUUCAUCCCCUAUACUCAUACUAUUCCUAAGUCUUUCUGUUUUAACCAUUCUCUCUACUUUCACUCUUUUUCUUUCCUUCUCACUGUUACUACUCCAGUAUAGGUCAUCCUACUCCAAUCUAUUUUAUAUGUGCCUACCAGAUUAAUCUUUCUAAUAAUAAAGAAAGACAUGAUUUUCAUCAUGUCACUACUCAUCCUGCUUAAGAAUCUACAUUGCCUGGAGUGUCAAGUCCGAGCUUCUUUUUCUGAGAAGCUAGGGCUCUCCGUAAGCCAACUCUACCCAAAGAUGUAUAAAUUUUAUUUCCCAUUAAUGCCUAAAACAUACACUUGCUUCAGGCAGAGAUAACUACCUAGGCACUUUCCCCACAAUACCAAGCACAUUCUUGCUUUAAUGCCUGCACAAGUGUUGGCAUAUUGCUGAAAUGACUUUACUGCUUCCCUCCCC
rnacentral:lncRNA from 1 species